rnacentral:rRNA from 1 species
CCCGCUGAAUUUAAGCAUAUCACUAAGCGGAAGAGAAGAAACCAACAGAGAUUCCUUUAGUAGCGGCGAGCGAAACGGGACCUAGCCCAGCACCGAAUCCCUCGUCCUUGCCGGCGAUCGGCAAAUGUGGUAUAUGGGAGGUAACGUUCCCGAGAGUCUUGCGGCGGUGCAAUUCCCCCUGACAGGGGCUUGACCCAGAGUGGGUGCCAGGCCCAUCUCCGCCACUGCUCUCUCGGGAUAGAAGCUCCCGUGAGUCGGGUUGUUCGAGAUUGCAGUCUUAAUUGGGUGGUGAACUCCAUCUAAGGCUAAAUACGUCCGAGAGACCGAUAGCUCACAAAUACCGUGAGGGAAAGUUGAAAAAAAAAAAAAAAAUAAAUAACAUUUGAAGAGGGAGUUCAAGAGUACUUAAACCGCGUAGAGAAAAACGG